GAUUAAUUCGAUGCAACGCGAAUAACCUUACCUACCCUUGACAUGUCCGGAAGCCUGGUGAGAGCUGGGUGUGCCCGAAAGGGAACUGGAACACAGGUGCUGCAUGGCUGUCGUCAGCUCGUGUCGUGAGAUGUUGGGUUAAGUCCCGCAACGAGCGCAACCCUUAUCAUUAGUUGCUACGCAAGGGCACUCUAAUGAGACUGCCGGUGACAAACCGGAGGAAGGUGGGGAUGACGUCAAGUCCUCAUGGCCCUUAUGGGUAGGGCUUCACACGUCAUACAAUGGCCGGUACAGAGGGUUGCCAACCCGCGAGGGGGAGCCAAUCCCAGAAAGCCGGUCGUAGUCCGGAUUGCAGUCUGCAACUCGACUGCAUGAAGUCGGAAUCGCUAGUAAUCGCGGAUCAGCAUGUCGCGGUGAAUACGUUCCCGGGUCUUGUACACACCGCCCGUC
rnacentral:rRNA from 1 species